rnacentral:rRNA from 1 species
AUUCCAGCUCCAAGAGCGUAUAUUAAAGUUGUUGCAGUUAAAAAGCUCGUAGUUGGAUUUCUGGUCUAAUGCGCCUGGCCCGCUGCCGUUAGGUAUGUGAGUGCCGGUGCGCGUUUACCAUCCUUCCAGAGAACACUUCUACCAUUUAUUUGGACGGAUGUUGUCUUCUGGAUCCUUUACUUUGAGGAAAUUAGAGUGUUCACGGCAGGCUAUCGCCAGGAUACAUUAGCAUGGAAUAAUACUAUAGGAUCCUGAUCCUAUUUUGUUGGUUUCUAGGAGCAAGAUAAUGAUUAAUAGGGACAAUUGGGGGCAUUCGUAUCAACACGUCAGAGGUGGAAUUCUUGGAUUGUGUUGCGACGAACUACUGCGAAAGCAUUUGCCAAGGAUGUUUUCAUCA